rnacentral:rRNA from 1 species
AGAGUUUGAUCAUGGCUCAGAGCGAACGCUGGCGGCAGGCCUAACACAUGCAAGUCGAACGGAUCCUUCGGGAUUAGUGGCGGACGGGUGAGUAACACGUGGGAACGUGCCCUUUGGUUCGGAACAACUCAGGGAAACUUGAGCUAAUACCGGAUGUGCCCUUCGGGGGAAAGAUUUAUCGCCAUUGGAGCGGCCCGCGUCUGAUUAGCUAGUUGGUGAGGUAAAGGCUCACCAAGGCGACGAUCAGUAGCUGGUCUGAGAGGAUGAUCAGCCACAUUGGGACUGAGACACGGCCCAAACUCCUACGGGAGGCAGCAGUGGGGAAUCUUGCGCAAUGGGCGAAAGCCUGACGCAGCCAUGCCGCGUGAAUGAUGAAGGUCUUAGGAUUGUAAAAUUCUUUCACCGGGGACGAUAAUGACGGUACCCGGAGAAGGAGCCCCGGCUAACUUCGUGCCAGCAGCCGCGGUAAUACGAAGGGGGCUAGCGUUGCUCGGAAUUACUGGGCGUAAAGGGAGCGUAGGCGGACUGUUUAGUCAGAGGUGAAAGCCCAGGGCUCAACCUUGGAAUUGCCUUUGAUACUGGCAGUCUUGAGUACGGAAGAGGUAUGUGGAACUCCGAGUGUAGAGGUGAAAUUCGUAGAUAUUCGGAAGAACACCAGUGGCGAAGGCGACAUACUGGUCCGUUACUGACGCUGAGGCUCGAAAGCGUGGGGAGCAAACAGGAUUAGAUACCCUGGUAGUCC